AAAAGACUUAGUCCUAACCUUACAGUUAAUUUUUACCAGACAUAUACAUGCAAGUAUCCGCACACCAGUGUAAAUGCCCUAACAUCCUUCCACCAAGGCAUGAGGAGCAGGCAUCAGGCACACCCCCCCCCCACCGUAGCCCAAAACGCCUUGCUUAAGCCACACCCCCACGGGUAUUCAGCAGUAAUUGACAUUAAGCAAUAAGUGAAAACUUGACUUAGCCAUGGUUAACCCUAGGGUCGGUAAAUCUUGUGCCAGCCACCGCGGCCAUACAAGAGACCCAAAUUAACUGUCCAUCCGGCGUAAAGAGUGGCAAGAUGCUAUCCCACCAACUAAGAUCAAAAUGCAACCAAGCUGUCAUAAGCCCAAGACGCACCUAAACCCACCCCCAAAAUAGAUCCUAGCGCCUGCGACCAAUUUCAACCCACGAAAGCUAGGGCACAAACUGGGAUUAGAUACCCCACUAUGCCUAGCCCUAAAUCCAGAUACUUCUCCCACCAAAGUAUCCGCCCGGGAACUACGAGCACAAACGCUUAAAACCCUAAGGACUUGGCGGUGUCCCAAACCCACCUAGAGGAGCCUGUUCUAUAACCGAUAACCCACGAUGCACCCAACCACCUCUCGCCAGCACAGCCUACAUACCGCCGUCGCCAGCUCACCUCCCCUGAAAGUCCCACAGUGAGCCCAAUAGUCUACCCCACUAGCAAGACAGGUCAAGGUAUAGCCUAUGAGAUGGAAGAAAUGGGCUACAUUUUCUAGCAUAGAACACACGGCAACGGGGCAUGAAACCGCCCCCAGAAGGAGGAUUUAGCAGUAAAGUUGAACAAUAGAGUCCACUUUAAACCGGCUCUGGGACACGUACAUACCGCCCGUCACCCUCUUCACAGGCCCACCUACCCACAUAAAUAAUCAACUCUACAAUCAAGCCAAAGACGAGGUAAGUCGUAACAAGGUAAGUGUACCGGAAGGUGCACUUAGAACA
rnacentral:ncRNA from 1 species